CAGAGCCCCAUGCAGGGCUCCAUCCCACGACCAAGAGAUCACGACCUGCGCUGAAGUCAAGAGUCAGACACUUAUCGGACCGCACCAUCCAGUCACCCCGAGGCACUGAUAUUUGUGGUGGAGAACCAAGGAAGGCUUCUGGGGAUAUGCUGGACUGAGAUUUGGCCCCACACCCACGUGCUGACCCCUAACCUCACCUCACAAGCAGCUUGGCUCCUUCUCAUAGUGUAGACUCCUGCCCGCCAGGACCAGGCUGUGCAGGCCCACCUGUGUGUGUGUCCUCUGCUAGGCUGACAUCACCUUCCCCUGCUCCCUGACAAAGGAGAAUCGCAGAAACAGAAGAGAUGCAAGAGAGAGAGCACAAACAGGAGAAGCAGGCUCCCAGCUGAGCAGAGAGCCCUAGGUGGGGCUCCAGUCCAGGACCUGAUCAGAGCCAAAGGCAGCCGCUUAACCAACUGAGCCACCCAGCUUUCACUUCUAUAGGAUCUCUGGAACAGUGCUGCACGAAGCGACUAUGGUAAGCAUCCUUUCCUCCCACUCCUGGGUAAAUACCCAACAGAAAUGCAUGCAUAUGUGCAUCAAAUAGACAUGCCCAUGAAUGUUCAGAGCAACAUUCACUACAGGCCAAACCGGAAACAAUCCAAAGUGUCCUUCCAUAGUUUGGGUGUGCUGUAUUCAUACAAUGGAAUACUACUUACAGCAGUGAAAACAAGUUACUUCUAUGCACAAUACUAUGGAUAAAUCUCCUAAAUAUUACGUUGAGUGACAGAGGCAAGACACCAAAAAGUACAGUCUGAAUGAUCUAGUCCUGCAAAGGCCAAAGACAGGCAAAACUAAUCUACAGUGUCAGAAAUCGGGAGAGUAGUUACCCUUGGUGGGUAGUGAAGAGGAGGCUGCAUGAGCAAGGCUUCUGGGGAGCUGGAAGUUUUCAUUUCUUGGUCUGAAGGAGGUUAUAUACCAUGUUUACUUUUAAAAAAUGAUUGGGGUGCCUGGGUGGCUCAGUUGGUUAAGUACCCAACUCUUGGUUUUGGCUCAGGUCAUGAUCUCAAGGUUGUGGGAUUGAGCCCCGCCAUGGGCUCCACGCUUGGCGCAGAGGCUGCUGGAGAGUCUCUCACUCUUCCUCUCCUUUCCCCUCUGCUCCACCCUCUUUGUCCCCCUCUGAAAAUAAAAUCUUUCAAAAAAAAUUGAGCAGCACCCCUUUGAUUUCUGUACUUUUAUGUAUUUUAUAUUU